UACAGAGGUCCCAAGCGUUGUUCGGAUUCACUGGGCGUAAAGGGUGCGUAGGUGGCCGGGUAAGUCUGACGUGAAAUCUCCGAGCCUAACUCGGAAACUGCAUCGGAUACUAUCCGGCUUGAGGGUUGCAGGGGAGACCGGAAUUCCUGGUGUAGCGGUGAAAUGCGCAGAUAUCAGGAGGAACACCGGUGGCGAAGGCGGGUCUCUGGGCAACAACUGACGCUGAGGAGCGAAAGCGUGGGGAGCAAACAGG
rnacentral:rRNA from 1 species